UGAUACGCUUCCACCUGUUACUACCACGGUCCCUUCUAGAACAGUAACUCACAUUACGCUAACGUGGGCCGAAAGGGUACAUGUGUUUUUUGCAAAAUUAUAAAAAAUUGUGUUUGCCUCUCCUGCGGCACCUGCCACACCCUGCUUCGGGAUGAGACCCUGCAAACCACGUUUCUCCUUUGCUGACUGGCUUUUUGUUGGGUUCUACCGAUGGUGGGGCGCACGGGAGGUGGGAACCCCGAGGAGGGAAGAAAGGGCCUGUUGCUCGAUGUUUGCCUCCUGUCCCUGGCGGUGGUGGCCCAGCCGCGGGUCGCAGCCCAGCAGUGACAGUUCAUUCUUGGAGGAGGAGGUCCUGGCUCGCAGGAUUGCCACACUUUCAUAGAACCAGCUCUGCCUCUCGAAAAUCGCAGCGCCAUCAGCCGGUGCCCCUUUCAGACCUUUGAAUCCCGGCUCCGUGAGGUCCUGCCAUGUCCCGAGGCACCGGUACCAGCUGUGCGGUGUCCACGCCUCAGAGGUCUGACUCCCAGCUCCGCGGGCGCCCCCUUCAGCUUCUGGGUCUUCAGAGUCCCUUGUCUCUGUUUCCCAGCCCUAAGGGUGCGGGCUGCUUCCCUUGGUUAUCACCUCUGUCGCCUCUGCACUAUCCUGUUCACAACCCUUGAUAUUCAACCCUUUCCGUUAAAAUAAGUGGCGUGGUCUUGGCCUCCUGAUUGAACAGGCAGCCGGAUUCGCAGUUCCUGCGCGAGGGGGAGUGAGGCCGGGUCCUCUUCCGGCACCCCCAGCUCAGGUUGGCUUCCCACUGGCACGCGUGGCCUUUGCUCCUAGAUCCUGGGAUUCACCCCAAGCACGGAGAACUAAGGCGAUGGAGAAGCGGGUAUUUCACCUCCUGUGCGGGCGUGCAGUCCUGUCCUCGUGCCCCGUCUCCUCCAUUCCCACCCUGCUCAUCCUCAGUCUCUUCAAGACCUUCUGUCCACUCACUCCUCCGCUCGCUGCUACUUCAUCGUCACCUUCUUGGCUUUGCUUUUCUGUGUAGUCCGUCUAGAUCCCGUUGUCACCGCUUCACUCAAUCACCAGGACCGUCUACUCUCCUGCCCUGUUGCCCUCCGGCCACACUGCACUACACAGCCCGGGCCCGGCAUGUUCCAUCUGUCCCCUCCCGCGCCCACCAGCAGGUGCCACUGGAGGGGGUGCACACGCCAAGUGUCCGGUGUCAGCUGGGCCCCAAGUGAUGCCUGGAGGGCAUUCUCCACCUCCUCUCCUCUCGGGGCUGUUCUCACCUGUGACUCUGCUCCAGCCCGACCCUGCCCUCCUUUCCUGUCUCACCUGGAGGGUGGCCUCACCUAUCUUUUCUCACACCGGGCUGAGUAUGGAGGCAAAGCUUCAGGUCUGUUUCCCACACUCACCACCUGUUCUUACCUUACUUGGAGGAGAAGGGGUUGCUCCUCCUGUCAUGGGCUAGAUCUUCCACUGACCAACCUUGCUUACCCAAUACUGUCCUCAUGACACAUCUCCUAAUGUGCCAUGUAAUUUGCUUUCAUUUUCUCCCUCCUUCUACUCCCAGGAGAAUAUAUAUCUUCCGAGAGCAGGGAUUUCACAUCCAUUUGGUUGACCAUGAGGUGAGAAAGGAAGUCAUCAUGGUUGAUUCCAAGGGUUUUGGCCUGAGCCCUGGAAGACUGGAGUUGCCUCUGACUCAGCUGAGGAAGGUCAUUAAUGGAGCAGGUUUGGAGGGAACGUCAGAAAUUCAGCUCUGGACGUGUUAGCACGUUAGACAUCCAUGUGGAGCUGUUGAGUGGGCUGGAGGAUUGGACCAGUUUUAGAGCUGAGGUCCAGGGUACAGGGAGAGACACAGGUGUCCUCAGCAUAAGACACUUAAAACCAUGGACAAGAUGAGAGCUACAGGAAAUGACUGUGGAUGGUAAAGAGGAGGCCUUGAACUGAGCUCUGGGACACUCCAGCGCCCAGACCUCGGGCAGAUGAAGAAAAACCAUCAAGGAGGUUGGCGGGAGGAGCCCUGACUGUGAUGAGGAAGAAAACCUGGAGGAUGUGCUGCCCUGGGUUCAGGUGGCAAGAGUGUUUCCAUGAAGGACGCCAGAGGGAUCAGCUGUGCCCAUUGCUACGGAACCAGGGACCACAGGGAACAGAGACGAAGGAUGACGACCUCCAGAGCCCAGACGCCCUCGGUGUUUCUUCCACGUGGCACUGCUCUGUGGGAACAGUACCCAGCCUAGCACAUACUGCACACAGACCAUCGUGACAUAUCAAGGUCGCUGAUGAUGUCGUAGGCAUAUGGGCCCUCUGGGAGCUGAUACAUUUUUU